GAUGAAGAACGUAGCGAAAUGCGAUAAGUAAUGUGAAUUGCAGAAUUCAGUGAAUCACCGAAUCUUUGAACGCACAUUGCGCCCGCCAGUAUUCUGGCGGGCAUGCCUGUUCGAGCGUCAUUUCAACCAUCAAGCCCCCGGCUUGUGUUGGGGACCUGCGGCUGCCGCAGGCCCUGAAAACCAGUGGCGGGCUCGCUAGUCACUCCGAGCGUAGUAAUACAUCUCGCUCAGGGCGUGCUGCGGGUUCCGGCCGUUAAAAAGCCUUAUUUACCCAAGGUUGACCUCGGAUCAGGUAGGAAGACCCGCUGAACUUAAGCAUAUCAAUAAGCGGAGGA
rnacentral:misc_RNA from 1 species